rnacentral:rRNA from 1 species
GAUGAACGCUGACGGCGUGCCCAAUACAUGCAAGUCGAGCGAACGGACGAGAAGCUUGCUUCUCUGAUGUUAGCGGCGGACGGGUGAGUAACACGUGGAUAACCUACCUAUAAGACUGGGAUAACUUCGGGAAACCGGAGCUAAUACCGGAUAAUAUUUUGAACCGCAUGGUUCAAAAGUGAAAGACGGUCUUGCUGUCACUUAUAGAUGGAUCCGCGCUGCAUUAGCUAGUUGGUAAGGUAACGGCUUACCAAGGCAACGAUGCAUAGCCGACCUGAGAGGGUGAUCGGCCACACUGGAACUGAGACACGGUCCAGACUCCUACGGGAGGCAGCAGUAGGGAAUCUUCCGCAAUGGGCGAAAGCCUGACGGAGCAACGCCGCGUGAGUGAUGAAGGUCUUCGGAUCGUAAAACUCUGUUAUUAGGGAAGAACAUAUGUGUAAGUAACUGUGCACAUCUUGACGGUACCUAAUCAGAAAGCCACGGCUAACUACGUG